rnacentral:lncRNA from 1 species
GGGUUCAUCUCCAAGGGUUUAGCAGGUUGGGAAGACUCUUCCAUGGCUCCCCCAAAUUGAGCUCUCAGCACUCUUGUUAUUCUUGCAAUCUGAGCAGUUAUCCACUUCCAAAAUGAACUCAGGGUGCCGGGCGCGGUGGAGGCGCCGCGGGCCCCCGGCCUGGUGCAGGGCAGCGGCGGUGCUGGGGGCGCGGCGAUGCCCCCCCAUCCCCGGUCCCGCCCUCGGCUCCGCCCCCCGCGCCCGGCCCCGCCCCGCUUCCCGCCGCCGCGGUGGUGUGAUGCGAGGG